GGCUAUGAUGAGUUUUGCUUAUUUCUGACACCUCUUGUAUGAGAAGGGUUUUACACAAGUCCUUCCAUGAGCAGAUAAAGCAACCAUCUGAGCC